rnacentral:rRNA from 1 species
AACCUUUACACUGCACGCCAGUGCGAUAAGGGGACUCCGAGUGCGAGGGCAUAUAGUCCUCGCUUUUCACCACCGUAAGGAGGUGGUAGAAUAAGUGCUGGGCAAGACCGGUGCCAGCCGCCGCGGUAAUACCGGCAGCACGAGUGAUGACCGCUAUUAUUGGGCCUAAAGCGUCCGUAGCUGGCCGUGCAAGUCCAUCGGGAAAUCUGCCCGCCUAACGGGCAGGCGUCCGGUGGAACCUGCAUGGCUUGGGACCGGAAGACCAGAGGGGUACGUCUGGGGUAGGAGUGAAAUCCCGUAAUCCUGGACGGAUCACCGGUGGCGAAAGCGCCUCUGGAAGACGGAUCCGACGGUGAGGGACGAAAGCUCGGGUCACGAACCGGAUUAGAUACCCGGGUAGUCCGAGCUGUAAACGAUGUCUGCUAGAUGUGCCACAGGCUACGAGCCUGUGGUGUGUCGUAGGGAAGCCGUGAAGCAGACCGCCUGGGAAGUACGUCCGCAAGGAUGAAACUUAAAGGAAUUGGCGGGGGAGCA